AUUUAUUUUGAAAUGCAAUAGCCAAGGAGUCAGCCUUUGAUUCCUCUCCAGAUACGCUUGGAAGUCCUGAAAAAUUCUUCUGGAUGUCUGGAUCUUGCUGCCCCAAUGUGAAUCUUCUUGGUGUCUUUCUAUGUUCAUGGUUGAUGAACCACCUAUCUGAGACCUCCGGAGAUGCUUCUUGUCAACGUGCUUUGUGAUUUGGCUCAGAAUCACAUUUUGGUGGCGGAUGUGGUAUUAUGAAUGUUCUAGAGGGGAGAGUGCUGUGCCAGGAAGCCAAGCCAAUUGAAAGUGAAGUGAAAAUUCAGAAUUAUGGAGAUUUAAUUUCCUGCUGAAUAAUUCUCCACAAGCUGUGUAAACUUCUCUUCCCUGAACAAAUACUCAGAAUAAAAUACCUUAGAUGCUCUUUUCCUUUUUA
rnacentral:lncRNA from 1 species